CCUACGGGUGGCAGCAGUAGGGAAUAUUGCUCAAUGGGGGAAACCCUGAAGCAGCAACGCCGCGUGGAGGAUGAAGGUUUUCGGAUUGUAAACUCCUUUUGUUAGAGAAGAUAAUGACGGUAUCUAACGAAUAAGCACCGGCUAACUCCGUGCCAGCAGCCGCGGUAAUACGGGAGGUGCAAGCGUUACUCGGAAUCACUGGGCGUAAAGAGCGCGUAGGCGGGAGAGCAAGUCAGAUGUGAAAUCCUAGGGCUUAACCAUAGAACUGCAUUUGAAACUGUUAUUCUAGAGUAUGGGAGAGGUAGGUGGAAUUCUUGGUGUAGGGGUAAAAUCCGUAGAGAUCAAGAGGAAUACUCAUUGCGAAGGCGACCUGCUAGAACAUAACUGACGCUGAUGCGCGAAAGCGUGGGGAGCAAACAGGAUUAGAUACCCUUGUAGUC
rnacentral:rRNA from 1 species